GAAAACUGCGCAAAGAACAUCUGAGUUAUAUUUCGAAGUCGUUCUAAGUUUGUUUUGGGAGAAUACCCGAUGAUACUACUAUUAUGGCGUUUCAUUUUCUCGUGAAUUAACAGUUACGCAUUUUACUAUCAAACAGAGUAAUCAACUGAAAUCGUAAAAUAUUGUUAGUGUCCGACAUGUAAACCUACCUACAACUCCGAAAAGAUAAAACAUCCACUAAACUCGCUAACGUAAGCGAGGUAGUUGAAUGUUAGCCUGGUUGCAAUUAGCUACUGCAUAGCUUCCUAUACAAACGUAUUUGUUAUUUUUCUAAUAGGUAAGAAGUGUUAAUAUUUUUAGACAAACACUGUCAGUUUGUUUGUGUAAAGACACAAGUCUAGUAUUAUUGAUUAGCUAAUAUCUCUAGCUAGCUGUUAAUAACUUCAGUGGACACCUGCCUCUUUGGUGGGUCUUUCCCUCUCAACGACCGCCUUUCCUUGCCGAAGAUCAGGAUACCGAUCGCUGGCUGUUUGACUUAUGGCUCAUUUUCGCGGUCAACUGCUGCAACUGCCCCGCUAGACACAUGAUAUCGUAAAGUUGGAACAGGGGCUGCGCCUCCGAUCUGGUGAUUGACAGGUGCACGAAGAAAGGUCCAAAAAUGAUGGAUGUCAGAGAACGUUGGAGAGAGAGCACGUUUUGUCAUGGCUUGUAAAUGAUUUGGAAAUACAAUUCUGUUUACUGUUUUCCCAAUAAAGCUGAAAUUGAAUAGUGCCAGGGGAGAGAUGUUGCUUUAUAACUUGGUUCAUCUUUGCUGGGUUUAUAUAAAUACCAACUAUUUGGUUGUUGAAAGCAUUGACUGGGAUUUAGAGGUGAUGGGGUCUGCUCUUUAACCUUACAUUCAUUGUUUCAUUUCAAAUCCAAUGUAUUCUGGCUCUGUAUAUCUCAUUUCAGUUGGUGUGAAGGCAAAUGUGUAAUAUGACACAGGGACCUCUUCUGUUUUGUUCUUUAGUAUUAUCUUUGCUGUUUCUGUACCUGUCAUUAUUUCCACUGUUAGAGACUUUUAUGUCUCUGCUUAUCAGUUACUUAUCAGCUGCAACUGCAGUGGGGCUCCUUAAUGCAGUCUCAUUCUCCACUGUCCACAUGAGCUUGUCAUUUCCUCUUAAGGAAGCACCGCUGUCACUAGCUGUUGAUAUGCUGGGACAUGUCCCCGAACAUAGUUCAAGAGCCAGUAGUUUGAAUGCCCUUUAUGAGUUACUGUGAGUUCUAUUAAUGUUUAAAGUCAGUGUUUGAACAAACCUCUCAGCUGAAUCCAAUGAUUAGAAAUAUGAGUAAGGUUUAUUUGAGUAAUCAUGCAAUCACAGCCUGGUAGUUAAGAUGCGUCUUGCAGCGUCUGCAGGUUACAUGCACCAAUCGCCCUGUAUCCUCAUUUUUGGCAAGCAUAUUUACUGUGUAUACUAUAACUUCAAAAUAAAAGUAAGCGGACAAAAA